rnacentral:misc_RNA from 1 species
GAUGAAGAACGUAGCGAAAUGCGAUAAGUAAUGUGAAUUGCAGAAUUCAGUGAAUCAUCGAAUCUUUGAACGCACAUUGCACCCGCCAGUAUUCUGGCGGGCAUGCCUGUUCGAGCGUCAUUUCAACCAUCAAGCCCUGCUUGCGUUGGGGUCCUGCGGCUGCCCGCAGGCCCUGAAAACCAGUGGCGGGCUCGCUAGUCACACCGAGCGCAGUAAUACAUCUCGCUUUGGGCGUGCGGCGGGUUCUUGCCGUUAAACACCCCCUUUUUACCAAGGUUGACCUCGGAUCAGGUAGGAAUACCCGCUGAACUUAAGCAUAUCAAUAAGCGGAGGA